rnacentral:rRNA from 1 species
AGAGUUUGAUCAUGGCUCAGAACGAACGCUGGCGGCGUGGAUUAGGCAUGCAAGUCGAACGCGAAAGUGGGAGCAAUCCCGCGAGUAGAGUGGCGAACGGGUGAGUAACGCGUGAAGAACCUGCCUUCAACAGGGGGAUAACACUCCCAACGGGGUGCUAAUACCGCAUGAGACCACGGGUCUGCAUGGACCUGAGGUCAAAGGUGGCCUCUGCUUGCAAGCUACCGGUUGAAGAUGGCUUCGCGUCCCAUUAGCUAGUUGGCGGUGUAAAAGACCACCAAGGCGACGAUGGGUAGCUGGUCUGAGAGGAUGGUCAGCCACACUGGGACUGAGAUACGGCCCAGACUCCUACGGGAGGCAGCAGUCGAGAGGCUUCGGCAAUGGGGGAAACCCUGACCGAGCGACGCCGCGUGGAGGAUGAAGGCCCCUGGGUUGUAAACUCCUUUUGCUGGGGAAGAAACACGAUCAGGUGAACAAUCUGGUCGUUGACGGUACCCGGCGAAUAGUC